AUUUGUUUUGCUAUUUUCAAUUUCAGUGAUUUUAUCCGAAUAUAUCCUUCAAUACAAUCCUUUUUUUAAAACUCACUAUCAAUAUUAGCUAGACAUCUACAAAACAAGUGUGGUGUGUUCUUUUCCCUCUACUCUCACAGGGGUGUCAAACCAGUUCCACGGAGGGCCGACUGUCUGCAGGGUGGUGCAUAUUGGGCUGGUUUCGCCUUGGGGGAGGUAAUCGGCUUAGAGGAUUUCCUUGUGCCACCACGUUCUGCAACGUCUCUGGCGGCACAGGUGACUUUGACCUGGCCAUGCAUAUGAGGUAAUGUGAGCGAGCGUUUCCUCCAAUGUGUUGGCUCACAUUGACUUCAUUACAAACUGUACUGCCUUGCAGUAAAAGUGGGUCGCAAGGGUGGGAAUGUUCCGUAAUGAUAUUUAUUGCCGAUUUCUAGCCAAAGAUCAAUAUCCACCUUCACUAUUUGGUCUGUGUUUAAUUCCAAGUUAUUUUGACUGCAGUAGGUAUACAUACCUAAUUCUCCAUGUGCUUUUCUAUUAAAUCAAUAUUGACACUACAGCAACUUUUGGUGGAUUGUAUUGUUAUGCCGCCUGCACAUUAACAUUUACAAAUGUUUUCAGUUCGGAAUGGGAGUAUGCGGUCACAGUUGAAGGAAGGCAGGACACGAGGAGCAGAGGUAUAUCAGGGUAAAAUCCUUUUAAUUGUAACAACAAAACAACAAAAGGAGAGGCAAACCACAAACCAAUACACAACACACCUGGCACAAACAAUGAUCCCCAACAGGAAGAGCAAAAAGGCUAACUUAAAUAGGGUCCCCAAUUAGAGUCAAUGGGGGUGCCUAGAGAUGCCUAGAGGCUCCCAGCCAGGACCUGUCACAUGCUCCACUCAUCAUCAAAAUCUUCAUAUUUCGAUGUGAAAUAGAAUAAGAGCAAACGUGGACAUAAUGAACAACAUUACUGAUAAGUCAAUCACUUAUUGUUAUUGUAAACAUGGUCACAGUUCAAAAUUAAAAAUGUAGUUGUGUUAUGUAAACAUUGCAUGAAUAUUGGAAUAAAAAGUAAAAGUUGUACCAUUGAGAGUAGAGGGAAAAUAAC
ensembl:lncRNA